AACGAACGCUGGCGGCAUGCCUAACACAUGCAAGUCGAACGAGACCUUCGGGUCUAUUGGCGCACGGCUGCGUAACGCGUGGGAACCUACACUUAGGUUCCGAAUACCUCCCCGAAAGGGGUGCUAAUACCGGUUAAUGUCUUCGGACCUAAGAUUUAUCGCCUUUGGUUGGGCCCGCGUUGGAUUAGCUAGUUGGUAGGGUAAUAGCCUACUACGGCGAGGAUCCAUAGCUGGUAUGAGAGGAUGAUCAGCCACACUGGAGAUAAGACACGGCCCAGAAUCGUAAGGGAGGGAGGAGAGGGGAAUAGUGGAAAAUGGAGGGAGGUCUGAUAAAGCAACGCGGGGUGAGAGAUGAAGGGCGUAGGGUAGUAAAGCUGUUUUACACGGGAUGAGAGUGACAGUAACGGGUAAAUAAGCACCGGCUAACUACGUG
rnacentral:rRNA from 1 species